CAGGUUCAGUUAACUCUGCCGCUGUUAGGGCUCUCCAACGAAUCGCCAGAUGGCGGCGCAUAUAGAGAUCAUUAACGAGGACAGGUGCGAGCCCAAGAAGCGCCGCCAGGAGUACAAGAAGACCUGCCCCGUCGUCAAGGCCGAUACAUGUGCUGUUCUGCAUCCGUUCUAGGCUUCCUCUCAGCAGGAUUAAUUUCUCGAGUCUGCCCGGUUGGAUUGGGGACGUAAGUCAGUGGUUCUUCGCGCAGAGAGGCAUCGCAUCAGAGUCAAUCCGUCAUCCAAGUUUGUCUUCAUCUCUGAAGAGGCUGUGAAUAGCUUGGGUUAUUUGCGUCGAAGAAUGCCCUUUGAUGAUGCCAUACAAAUAAUCAACCUCCAGAAAGAUUUGGACAAAGAUCCCACCCAUUGCUACGAGCCAAACACCUUCAAAUUGCUCAGUUUGUCAGUUACGAGACCUGGCCAGGUUUUUGGCCUUGUUGGAGCCAAUGGAACUGGAAAAGCGGCAGCACUUAAACGUGUUAUGGGAUGAUUCAAAAAUCCGCCUGCUUGGUGGGAAGUCCUUAAAUACUUGCGGGGUCUGAACUACAGAAUUACUUUACGCGUUUCUUGGAUGAUAACCUCAAGAUUGAGGAAGCCCAGGGAAGUGCUGAAGUGAUUGUGACAUACCAGCAUUUCAAGCUCACUGCCAUGCAAGGUGAAUUCACCGAUUCUCAGAUUGUUUUGAUGCUCGGUGAGAAUUGAACAGGGAAAUUCAUCAAAAUGCUGGUGACCCACCGGUAUCUAGGAGUCAUCAAUGCGAAGAAACGUUUGAUACAAGUAUUUGCUUGGUGUUGGAAUGGGUAGGACCGUAGGAGUGACCUCACACUCAUGGUAAGUAAGUUGAUUGUGAUCUCCUUUUGACAUUGUGUUUGCCUCCUGGGUCGCCCCUCCCUUCGGCGCCGAGCCACUCACCCAUCCCGCGCAUGGGUUAUGUUUGCCGCCUCUGCUGUCGGAGGUCGUCGAGCGUGGCUUUGUACGGCACGACAGCGUUGUGGAGCGACGACGCUAGGGGCCUGGCGUGGGAUGCGGCCGCUGGCAGGUCCAUGUUGAACGGGCUAGUGUUGUUACCUUUAUUGUCAGCUUCCUUCUGGUAUGGCGAUGUCGGGAAUUCCACGAUGUUGCAUCCGUUUGGGGGAGGAAUAUGAUGGGCGGUGGCUGCGAUGGAAGAUGGUCGGGGCGGCUGAGAAAGAUGAGGCCAUUAGGUGCAUGCGUUCCCCAACCUCUUUAAAGCAGCUAGCUACCCUGAUCUGGUCUUGGGACAACAUUGGCACCCCCGUUUUCCUACCGACUGCCCUGCCCUCUAGCGUCGAGCAAAUCCGCCAUCAGGUGCCUCGCUACCUCAACCUUCGGCGGUCGCUCCAAAGGAGCUGCUCCCGCUUGUCUUGCCUGAGGAUGGAGACACCGCUAUGCUGGUGCUGCCUGACGCCAUGUGCAGGGUGGCCACCCCAACUUGGACCGGCUCACCGUGGCGCAUCCCCGCGGCCCUCUCCUUCCUGCCACCGCUGUCAUGGAUCUCUUUUUGUCAUCGGUGUCGCCGACUCGAUUGUGUGCGGUGCGCACGUGGUGUUGGACGCUGGUGGAGAGGGGAAGAGGGAAUAGCUUGAUGCGAUUGCUAGCUGCUUGGAGGAUUUGUCGCUUGGGAGAAAAGGUACACACGGGAAACAAAACUAUAUUUAUUUCAGGAAAAUAAUUGUAUGGUUGUUUGGUGUUAGUGAUGU